UGCAGUCGAGCGGGGGAGGUAGCUUGCUACUGGACCUAGCGGCGGACGGGUGAGUAAUACUUAGGAAUCUGCCUAUUAGUGGGGGACAACGUUCCGAAAGGAGCGCUAAUACCGCAUACGCCCUACGGGGGAAAGCAGGGGAUCUUCGGACCUUGCGCUAAUAGAUGAGCCUAAGUCGGAUUAGCUAGUUGGUGGGGUAAAGGCCUACCAAGGCGACGAUCUGUAGCGGGUUUGAGAGGAUGAUCCGCCACACUGGGACUGAGACACGGCCCAGACUCCUACGGGAGGCAGCAGUGGGGAAUAUUGGACAAUGGGCGCAAGCCUGAUCCAGCCAUGCCGCGUGUGUGAAGAAGGCCUUAUGGUUGUAAAGCACUUUAAGCGAGGAGGAGGCUUACCUAGCUAAUACCUAGGAUAAGUGGACGUUACUCGCAGAAUAAGCACCGGCUAACUCUGUGCCAGCAGCCGCGGUAAUACAGAGGGUGCAAGCGUUAAUCGGAAUUACUGGGCGUAAAGCGCGCGUAGGUGGCCAUUUAAGUCAAAUGUGAAAUCCCCGAGCUUAACUUGGGAAUUGCAUUCGAUACUGGGUGGCUAGAGUAUAGGAGAGGAAGGUAGAAUUCCAGGUGUAGCGGUGAAAUGCGUAGAGAUCUGGAGGAAUACCGAUGGCGAAGGCAGCCUUCUGGCCUAAUACUGACACUGAGGUGCGAAAGCAU
rnacentral:rRNA from 1 species